GAUGAACGCUGGCGGCGUGCCUAAUACAUGCAAGUCGAACGCAUAGCGAAAGGUGCUUGCACCUUUCAAGUGAGUGGCGAAAGGGUGAGUAACACGUGGACAACCUGCCUCAAGGCUGGGGAUAACAUUUGGAAACAGAUGCUAAUACCGAAUAAAACUUAGUGUCGCAUGACACAAAGUUAAAAGGCGCUUCGGCGUCACCUAGAGAUGGAUCCGCGGUGCAUUAGUUAGUUGGUGGGGUAAAGGCCUACCAAGACAAUGAUGCAUAGCCGAGUUGAGAGACUGAUCGGCCACAUUGGGACUGAGACACGGCCCAAACUCCUACGGGAGGCUGCAGUAGGGAAUCUUCCACAAUGGGCGAAAGCCUGAUGGAGCAACGCCGCGUGUGUGAUGAAGGCUUUCGGGUCGUAAAGCACUGUUGUAUGGGAAGAACAGCUAGAAUAGGAAAUGAUUUUAGUUUGACGGUACCAUACCAGAAAGGGACGGCUAAAUACGUG
rnacentral:rRNA from 1 species